rnacentral:rRNA from 1 species
UUGAACGCUGGCGGCAUGCCUUACACAUGCAAGUCGAACGGUAACGCGGGGCAACCUGGCGACGAGUGGCGAACGGGUGAGUAAUGCAUCGGAACGUGCCCAGUAGUGGGGGAUAGCCCGGCGAAAGCCGGAUUAAUACCGCAUACGACCUACGGGUGAAAGCGGGGGACCGCAAGGCCUCGCGCUAUUGGAGCGGCCGAUGUCGGAUUAGCUAGUUGGUGGGGU